GCGUAAUUCAAGGGAGUGGGACGAGCGGCCUUGUGCUGCGAAGCAAUCGGAAGUGGUUCCAAGAAAAGCCUCUAAGCUUCAGUCAUACGAGACCGUACCGCAAACCGACACAGGUGGGCGAGAUGAGUAUUCUAAGGCGCUUGAGAGAACUCGGGAGAAGGAACUCGGCAAAUUGGUACCGUAACUUCGGGAAAAGGUACGCCCCAGUAGCUUGGCUGAUUUACUUCAGUAGGGCGAAAGGGUUGCAAUAAACUGGUGGCUGCGACUGUUUAAUAAAAACACAGCACUCUGCAAACACGAAAGUGGACGUAUAGGGUGUGACGCCUGCCCGGUGCUGGAAGAUUAAAUGAUGGGGUGCAAGCUCUUGAUUGAAGUCCCAGUAAACGGCGGCCGUAACUAUAACGGUCCUAAGGUAGCGAAAUUCCUUGUCGGGUAAGUUCCGACCUGCACGAAUGGCGUAACGAUGGCCACACUGUCUCCUCCCGAGACUCAGCGAAGUUGAAGUGUUUGUGAUGAUGCAAUCUACCCGCGGCUAGACGGAAAGACCCCAUGAACCUUUACUGUAGCUUUGCAUUGGACUUUGAACCAAUCUGUGUAGGAUAGGUGGGAGGCUUUGAAGCGGGGACGCCAGUUCUCGUGGAGCCAACCUUGAAAUACCACCCUGGUUUGUUUGAGGUUCUAACCUUGGUCCGUUAUCCGGAUCGGGGACAGUGCAUGGUAGGCAGUUUGACUGGGGCGGUCUCCUCCUAAAGUGUAACGGAGGAGUUCGAAGGUACGCUAAUUACGGUCGGACAUCGUGAUGAUAGUGCAAUGGCAUAAGCGUGCUUAACUGCGAGACUGACAAGUCGAGCAGGUACGAAAGUAGGACAUAGUGAUCCGGUGGUUCUGUAUGGAAGGGCCAUCGCUCAACGGAUAAAAGGUACUCUGGGGAUAACAGGCUGAUUCCUCCCAAGAGUUCAUAUCGACGGGGGAGUUUGGCACCUCGAUGUCGGCUCAUCACAUCCUGGGGCUGUAGCCGGUCCCAAGGGUAUGGCUGUUCGCCAUUUAAAGUGGUACGUGAGCUGGGUUUAAAACGUCGUGAGACAGUUUGGUCCCUAUCUGCCGUGGGCGUUGGAAAUUUGAAGGGGGCUGCUCCUAGUACGAGAGGACCGGAGUGGACGAACCUCUGGUGUACCGGUUGUCACGCCAGUGGCAUUGCCGGGUAGCUAAGUUCGGAAGAGAUAACCGCUGAAAGCAUCUAAGCGGGAAACUUGCCUUGAGAUGAGAUUUCCCGGAGCUUUAAGCUCCUUGAAGGGUCGUUCGAGACCAGGACGUUGAUAGGUCAGGUGUGGAAGUGCAGUAAUGCAUUAAGCUAACUGAUACUAAUUGCCCGUACGGCUUGUCCCU
rnacentral:rRNA from 1 species